AGGGUUCGAUCCUGGCUCAGGACGAACGCUGGCGGCGCGCCUAACACAUGCAAGUCGAACGAGCGAGAGAGAGCUUGCUUUCUCGAGCGAGUGGCGAACGGGUGAGUAACGCGUGAGGAACCUGCCUCAAAGAGGGGGACAACAGUUGGAAACGACUGCUAAUACCGCAUAAGCCCACAGGUCGGCAUCGACCAGAGGGAAAAGGAGUAAUCCGCUUUGAGAUGGCCUCGCGUCCGAUUAGCUAGUUGGUGAGGUAAUGGCCCACCAAGGCAACGAUCGGUAGCCGGACUGAGAGGUUGAACGGCCACAUUGGGACUGAGACACGGCCCAG
rnacentral:rRNA from 1 species